CCAGAUGUAGCUUAGCGGUAUAGCACUUGCCUAGUAUAAAUGAGGUUCUGGGUUCAAUUCCCAGUGUGUGUG
rnacentral:tRNA from 1 species